rnacentral:rRNA from 1 species
UAGCUAGUUGGUGAGGUAACGGCUCACCAAGGCGAUGAUCAGUAGCUGGUCUGAGAGGAUGGUCAGCCAGAUGGGGACUGAGAUACGGCCCCAACUCCUACGGGAGGCAGCAGCAAGGAAUAUUGGGCAAUGGGCGAAAGCCUGACCCAGCGACACCGCGUGAGGGAUUAAGGCCUUCGGGUUGUAAACCUCUUUUCUCGAGGAAGAAGUUCUGACGGUACUCGAGGAAUAAGCCACGGCUAACUACGUGCCAGCAGCCGCGGUAAUACGUAGGUGGCGAACGUUAUCCGGAUUUAUUGGGCGUAAAGAGAGUGUAGGCGGCUUGUUAAGUCGAGUGUUAAAUCUUCUGACUCAAUCAGGAGCUGCAUUCGAUACUGGUAGGCUUGAGGGCAGCAGAGGAAAACGGAAUUCCCAGUGUAGCGGUGAAAUGCGUUGAUAUUGGGAAGAACACCAGAGGCGAAGGCGGUUUUCCAGGCUGUAUCUGACGCUGAGACUCGAAGCGUGGGGAGCGAAGCGGAUUAGAUACCCGCGUAGUCCACGCCUUAAACGGUGAACAUUAGGUAUGGGAAGUAUCGACCCUUUCUGUGUCGUAGCUAACGCUUUAAAUGUUCCGCCUGGGGAGUACGGUCGCAAGGCUAAAACUCAAAGGAAUUGACGGGGGUCCGCACAAGCAGCGGAGCGUGUGGUUUAAUUCGAUGAUACACGAAGAACCUUACCAGGGUUUGACAUGUCAGAAGUAGGAAACCGAAAGGUAGACGACCUGUAUCCAGUCAGGAACUGUCACAGGUGCUGCAUGGCUGUCGUCAGCUCGUGCCGUGAGGUGUUGGGUUAAGUCCCGCAACGAGCGCAACCCUUGUUCUAUGUUAAUUUCUCAUAGAAGACUGCCUUGUACAGCAAGGAGGAAGAAGAGGAUGACGUCAAGUCAGCAUGGCCUUUAUGCCCUGGGCUACACACACGCUACAAUGGGUAAUACAGAGGGUUGCCAAAGAGUGAUCUGGAGCCAAUCCCUUAAAAUUAUCCUCAGUUCGGAUUGUAGGCUGAAAUCGCCUACAUGAAGUCGGAGUUGCUAGUAAUCGCAGGUCAGCUAUACUGCGGUGAAUACGUACUCGGACCUUGUACACACCGCCCGUCACGUCGUGGAAGUCGGAAACACUUGAAGCCAAUGUGUUAACUUGUUUUCAAGAAAUAGUUGUCGAAGGUGGAGCUGAUAACUGUGGCGAAGUCGUAACAAGGCAGCCGUACGGGAACGUGUGGCUG